GCAUGCAUAGCCAUAUCGGUUGGCACAUGAGCUCAGCUCUGGCACACUUGCCAGCUGAUUUUCGGGCCUUCUGGGCCCACUGGAAGUCAGCAAACAGGCCAUUUCUGGCCUCCGGAGGGCCUCCAGGGAAGUGAGGAAGGCCAUUUUUGUCCUCCCCAGGCUCCUAGAAAGGCUCUGGAGCCUGGGGCGGGCGAAAAAUAGGCCUACCAGGCUCGCCGUGCCAUCACAUGCCAAAAGCGAGGGAAGCGCGGGGGGUGGGGGUCACGCAGACAUGCGUGGGGAUGGGACGCAUAGAAUUAUGGGUGUGGGCACAUGCACGCGCAAACCCCCCCUGCGCUUCCCCUUGCUUUUGGCACACAAUGGCAAAAAGGUUAGCCAUCACUGCUAUAGGCUCACCUGUGUCCCCCAUUGUAACCAAUCUCUGCAUGGAUGAAGUAGAAACCAAAGCCCUAGCCUUCUUCAUAGGAAUUUCACUCACUAACUGGUAUAAGUAUGUGGAUGAUACUUGGCUCAAGAUUAAAACACAGAAAGUGGAAGAUUUCACCAAACACAUCAACACAGGACAGGAAUAUUAAGUUCACAUGGAAAGAUGUUAAGUAAAAUAGUCUGGUUUUCCUGGACUGUGCAGUACACAUUAAAGAAGACAGAAGCCUCAACACUGAUGUAUACAGAAAACCCACACAGAGAUUAGUAUUUACAUUUUGAAUCUCACCACCUGCUGGGGCACAAACUGGGAAUGAUGAGAAUCCUAUACCACUGAGCUGAAGGUUUGCCUACCAGCAAAGAGGUGGAUGGGCAGGGGAGCGGGGGAUCAAGAAAGCUCUCAGAACUUGUGGAUGAAUCCUUCCAUUCCCCACUAUCCUGUCAGAGCUGAAGAAACUUCUUGGAUGAGAAGCGAAAUGUCUUCAAAAGGAAAAAGAAGAAAGUCAAGUUGCCUAUUGAAAAAAGCACCUUUGGGACAACCCUGACCUGGACUAAGAAUCUCUACAGACGUAUUUUGCUUAUAUUUUUAUAUUUUUCUGGAGUAAUUUACUUUUCUUUAAUGUUAGCAGAAUCUGAAAAUGCAGAGAAUUGAAGUAGCAGGAAACACUUAUGAUCUCCAGCAAUGCCUACCAUACAGCUUGCAGAAACCAGCUCUCCAUCUCACUUUCAGUUGACCUUCUAAAUCUAGAAUACAAAUAAGACUGCAUCUCACUUUCAGUUGACCUUUUAAAUCUAGAAUACAAAUAAAACUGCAAGAAUAUUUCCAACACUAAACAUAGCCUUAGUCUUUAGGCAAACAGGAAUCACUAAACUAUGCAAUGAAAGCAAAAUAGGCCUGCACUUCAUCUGAGUGCCACAGAUACCUACCAAGGAGCAAAGCCUGCUUUUCUGCAAAGCCCACCCAUCAAAUUCUGUCUCCAAGGACAAGAGUGAAAAUCCAGGAAAUUCCAUCAUUUUGUUCUAACUGUAUCACAGCUUUCCCUAAUCUCUCACCACUGGUGAAUAUAGCCAAGCAUUAUCAUUCUGGAUUCACAGAGAUUCAGUAGAAAUUAAGGAAGGACAUUUCUUGGCCAUCUUUGACUUGGUAAGCUCUGAUUCUGGGAUCUUUUGAAAUCACAUAGCCAUUCAACAAAGUCCCUUGCUCCUCCUAAAAGUUUUGCAACCCCCAGAAAUGUUUUAGAAAAAAUCCUUAAAUUCAAAGUAAGCUUAACUAGUCUGACUGAAGGAUUUCCCAUCCAAAACAACCAGAGGAAGCAGACAUUGUAGCUCAGGAUUUUUAUAGCAUGUAAGGAUUAAUACGAAUAGUGGAGAGGAAGAUAACUCAACAAGGUCUAAAUUGGAGAAUUAAAUCAUUUCCUUCCAGCUGCAUUAAUAGGCAUAUUCAUGCCAGCCAAUUCUACUCUAGGUCAGGAUUCAGACUUUGCUUGGUGUGUGAUUCCUGCAUUUCUGCUGCAGGAAGGCAGAAGAAAUAGAUCUAUCUAAUCCAAUGGAACUGCCUGAAGGCAUAAGAAUUCUGCUAUUCUCAGAAGCAGAUGGUAUCAUGAAAGGAAAAAUUUAUAUGAAUAUCAAGGUAUCUUUAUUCAUAAUUUACUUGCUUCCUUUUUUUUUCUUUUCACAGGAAAUGCCACCUAUGUGUGUUACCGUCGAGGCGGGGACUGUGUUCACUUUUACUGUCCUCCUGAAUGAAACCUUGGGACAUGGGGAUGUAAUGCGGGAUUGACAUGCUGUAGAAGAAUUUGAAAAUAACGAAAUCUCCAUCUACUGCCUUGGAUAUCUUCAAGAGCUGACUAAUGACUUGUCAUCACCAUUUCCCAUCAUGUUAUCUUUCUUUAUCUCAAUCCAAAUUGCUAUCUAUGCAUUGAAGAAGAAAAAAUAGCAAAUUUCCCUGAAAAUAUAGCUAAAUGAGCAUUGUAGUUGUUGUGUGAUGUGUGUGACUACAUGAAUAUUCCUAAUUUGUCUUUCAUAGUACUGCUUUUGAUAGCUUGGACUGUUUUAGGAAUACAAGUCAAAAUAGACAACAACAUGGUUGUUAGGAUAUGAUUUGAGCCUAACUAGUUGUCCAGGUAUUAUGAGUGUACUGUAACUUUAAUAUGAAAAUGUAUUAUGUUACUUUAAAGGUAUUCAUUGUAAUGCUGAGUCAUGCUGUAAUCAGGUAAUGACUGGUUGUGAGAGUAUUUAAGCAAGGUAUUGUAACGUAUUCAGUUUGAUGAUGAAGCUGCUAUGAUAUGCUGCCAUUGUGUAUGGAGCUGAUAUGAUAAGCUACCAUUGAGAGGAGUUGUUAUCUGCUAAUCAUCGUUUGAUGGAUCUGCUACCAUCGUGGUUUGUGAACCAGAGUGAGUUUGUUAUUCUAACCAACUAAUGUUUGUUUGGUAAGAAGAUUUCUGUAACUACUGGACUGAUUUAACUGGCAAAGACUUGGAAUUUGUUUAAAGACUAUGAGACUGUUUUUCUACUAUAAAGUAAGAUUUUGAUAAA